rnacentral:rRNA from 1 species
UAGGGAAUCUUCGGCAAUGGGCGAAAGCCUGACCGAGCAACGCCGCGUGAAUGAUGAAGGCCUUCGGGUUGUAAAAUUCUGUUAUAAGGGAAGAACGACUUUAGUAGGAAAUGGCUAGAGUGUGACGCUAACUUAUGAGAAAGCCACGGCUAACUACGUGCCAGCAGCCGCGGCAAUACGUAGGUGGCGAGCGGUAUCCGGAAUUAUUGGGCGUAAAGGGCGCGCAGGCGGUUGAUUAAGUCUGAUGUGAAAGCCCACGGCUUAACCGUGGAGUGUCAUUGGAAACUGG